GACGAACCGUCCAAACGUUAUUCGGAAUCACUGGGCUUAAAGGGUGCGUAGGCGGCUUCGCAAGUUGGGUGUGAAAGCCCUCGGCUUAACCGAGGAACGGCGCCCAAAACUGCGGAGCUCGAGGAAGAUAGAGGUGAGCGGAACUUAGGGUGGAGCGGUGAAAUGUGUUGAUAUCCUAAGGAACACCAGUAGCGAAAGCGGCUCACUGGGUCUUUUCUGACGCUGAGGCACGAAAGCUAGGGGAGCGAACGGG
rnacentral:rRNA from 1 species